rnacentral:tRNA from 1 species
GUUUUUAUAGUUUAUAAUUGAAAACGUUGGUCUUGUAAACCAAAAAAGAAUUUUUUCUAAAAACU